rnacentral:rRNA from 1 species
GACGUAGGGCGCGAGCGUUGUCCGGAAUUAUUGGGCGUAAAGAGCUCGUAGGCGGUUUGUUGCGUCGGCUGUGAAAUCCCGAGGCUCAACCUCGGGUCUGCAGUCGAUACGAGCAAACUAGAGUGUUGCAGGGGAGACUGGAAUUCCUGGUGUAGCGGUGAAAUGCGCAGAUAUCAGGAAGAACACCCGUGGCGAAGGCGGCUCUCUGGGAAUAUCCUGACGCUGAGGAGCGAAAGUGUGGGGAGCGAACAGG